rnacentral:rRNA from 1 species
UAAUUGGGCGUUAAGUUGCAGGGUAUAGACCCGAAACCCGGUGAUCUAGCCAUGGGCAGGUUGAAGGUUGGGUAACACUAACUGGAGGACCGAACCGACUAAUGUUGAAAAAUUAGCGGAUGACCUGUGGCUGGGGGUGAAAGGCCAAUCAAACCGGGAGAUAGCUGGUUCUCCCCGAAAGCUAUUUAGGUAGCGCCUCGUGAAUUCAUCUCCGGGGGUAGAGCACUGUUUCGGCUAGGGGGCCAUCCCGGCUUACCAACCCGAUGCAAACUGCGAAUACCGGAGAAUGUUAUCACGGGAGACACACGGCGGGUGCUAACGUCCGUCGUGAAGAGGGAAACAACCCAGACCGCCAGCUAAGGUCCCAAAGUCAUGGUUAAGUGGGAAACGAUGUGGGAAGGCCCAGACAGCCAGGAUGUUGGCUUAGAAGCAGCCAUCAUUUAAAGAAAGCGUAAUAGCUCACUGGUCGAGUCGGCCUGCGCGGAAGAUGUAACGGGGCUAAACCAUGCACCGAAGCUGCGGCAGCGAACGUAUCACUUAAAGCGAUUCAGCGGGUUACGAUUGACGGAGCGAAGCGACGUCAAAGCGUAUACAAAGUCGAGUCGGUUUAAGGAUACGUUCGUUGGGUAGGGGAGCGUUCUGUAAGCCUGCGAAGGUGGCCUGUGAGGGUUGCUGGAGGUAUCAGAAGUGCGAAUGCUGACAUAAGUAACGAUAAAGCGGGUGAAAAGCCCGCUCGCCGGAAGACCAAGGGUUCCUGUCCAACGUUAAUCGGGGCAGGGUGAGUCGACCCCUAAGGCGAGGCCGAAAGGCGUAGUCGAUGGGAAACGGGUUAAUAUUCCCGUACUUGGUGUUACUGCGAAGGGGGGACGGAGAAGGCUAUGUUGGCCGGGCGACGGUUGUCCCGGUUUAAGCGUGUAGGUGUGUGUUCCAGGUAAAUC